GGAGUUUGGUCCGUGUCUCAGUACCAAUGUGGGGGACCUUCCUCUCAGAACCCCUACUGAUCGUUGCCCCGGUGGGCCGUUACCCCGCCGGCAAGCUAAUCAGACGCAUCCCCAUCCCUUACCGAUGAAUCUUUGCUCCUCGUUAGAUGCCUGCAAAGGAGAACAUAGAGUAUUAAUCCGACUUUCGCCGGGCUAUCCUCUAGUAAGGGGAAGGUUGGAUACGCGUUACUCACCCGUGCGCCGGUCGCCAUCAUAAAUAGCAAGCUAUCAGUAUGCUGCCCCUCGACUUGCAUGUGUUAAGCCUGUAGCUAGCGUUCAUC
rnacentral:rRNA from 1 species